GAUGAAGACGUAGUGAAAUGCGAUACGUAAUGUGAAUUGCAAAUUCAGUGAAUCAUCGAGUCUUUGAACGCACAUUGCGCCCCCUGGUAUUCCGGGGGGCAUGCCUGUCCGAGCGUCAUUGCUGCCCUCAAGCACGGCUUGUGUGUUGGGCCCCGUCCUCCGAUCCCGGGGGACGGGCCCGAAAGGCAGCGGCGGCACCGCGUCCGGUCCUCGAGCGUAUGGGGCUUUGUCACCCGCUCUGUAGGCCCGGCCGGCGCUUGCCGAUCAACCCAAAUUUUUUAUCCAGGUUGACCUCGGAUCAGGUAGGGAUACCCGCUGAACUUAAGCAUAUCAAUAAGCGGAGGA
rnacentral:misc_RNA from 1 species